rnacentral:rRNA from 1 species
AGGAUUUGACAUGCCACUUUUUUCUUGAAAAAGAAAGUUCUAGAGUGGACA